AGAUAUUCUGGUUGAUCUACGAAAAAGUGAAGUGGAUGCAUCAUCAAUAAGAUUAGGUUGAGUGGAUGGAUCUAUAUUAUUUAAUCUGUUGGUUGAUCAGAAUUCUCUAAUUCCAAUUCUAUUUGUCUUUCUUUACCACUUUCUUGAAUAAAUUAUUAUUCAAGAAAAAUAGCAUCCCUACUUAUCAUAACUCUUUAUGAUGUUGGCAAAUAUAAAUAAUAUUCAAAACUUUCUUUUGGAUAUCCAACAAAUCAUUCUUUUUCAUAUUUUGUUUUUAAUUUAUCAGUUUUCAGCUUUUUAAUAUAAGCUGGACAACCCUAAAUCUUAACAUUCUUAAGACUUUAUUGUCUUCUAUGUCAUAUCUUAUAGAGAGUGGA
rnacentral:misc_RNA from 1 species